rnacentral:lncRNA from 1 species
UGAUGUAGGUUGUUACGUGAUUUCUAAAAUUAUGUUAACAGUAUUAUUUUGAAAAAUAAUUUUAAAUUAUAAUAUAAACAUAUUAUUGUACUUUAUAUUUAUAUAAAAAAUUAUUUAUUAUAUUAUUUCUAUUUGCUUUAUUUUUAUAAUACAAAUAAAUAUUAGUAUUAGAAAAUAAUUAUAAUUAUAAAUAAAAAUGUUAAUUCUAUAAUAAUAAG